CAUCUGUUCUCCGCCCGCAACAGGAAAUUGAUGGAAAGUCCUUGCUCCUGAUGCAGCGCAGUGACGUGUUAACUGGCCUGUCCAUCAGACUUGGGCCCGCCCUAAAGAUCUACGAGCGCCACGUGAAGAUGCUGCAGAGGACCCACUUCCUGGAUGAGGAGGAUGAUCUCUGACCACGGUUGGGGGGAACAGAACAACACACUCCUCUGAGGAGCAGAUGUAUUCAUACAGUAUACACACAUACUGUGUUCACUGGAUCUCUAGAACCUUCUGUAACCAUUCAAGGAGGUGUGGGGAAAAGGACACCGUGGUCAUGACUUGGGCCUUGACAGUGAUUAUCAACAUGUGUACGUGGGCUUCCAUUCCACCUCUCUGUGGUACUGCUGUCACCUGACCCAUUCUGGUGGUAUUGCUUUUAUAGGACCCCUCUCUAAACUCAUAUAGGAAUGUUAGGAUCCUGCCUAAUGACGCUAUAGAAGUCAAAUGGAGGUCUGCCUGUUCUGUAAGGGGAGAUCUGCCUGUUCUGUAAGGGGAGGUCUGCCUGUUCUGUUAGGGGAGGUCUGCCUGUUCUCUAAGGGGAGGUCUGCCUGUUCUCUAAGGGGAGGUCUGCCUGUUCUCUAAGGGGAGGUCUGCCUGUUCUCUAAGGGGAGGUCUGCCUGUUCUCUAAGGGGAGGUCUGCCUGUUCUCUAAGGGGAGGUCUGCCUGUUCUGUAAGAGGCGGGUCAGUGAGUGCAGCCAGUGUGAUUCCUCAGACUCUACACUUGGCUACCACUGGAGCCUCCUUUAAAAGUCUGGUUUCUGUGCUCCCUGAGUCAGUUCCACAAGAAAAUAAUAACAUGUAUACUUGGAAUAUCUGUUCCAGCAAAUAUGGUUCUAGCAUUUCUUCAUUGUUUACUCAGACAGUAUUUUUUUAGACAUGUCAUAUGGUACCCUCCAUUUAUCUAGAAACGCAACGCUGUUUGUCUUUUAUGAUGACAAUGUGAACUGAUUUAAUUUGAGAAUGUACAGUAUGAAUUUGUUGAUUCAUCAAAGGUCAGUGAUGUUGUCAAUCUCUCAUUAUACCAGCAAAGGAAAUGGAGCCGAGUCUCCAGAUGUUGUCAUGGCUUCACCAGUACUGACCGAGGUUUUAUUACUGUUAUCUGUUUCACUAACAUUUCCAAAUAGCAAUAUAUAGUACCUGCUAAACUAAAGCAACAUAAUAUGUUCUUUGUAUGGUUUCCUUCUGCAUUCCUCUUCCCUUCAUUUAUGUUCACGUCAUUUCUAAACAUUUUAGAUGAAUCUAAUUUAAUCUACUGUGGAUGAACCUAGAUUUCAUCUACAAAAUUAAAACCGUUUGAAGCAGAAUUCUAGUUGAAAUGGGCUGGCAGACCAGAACCAACGUAGCUCAAGGCCCCAAUGUUUCUGCCUGCUUCAGUUUGAGGGGAGAGAAACAACUCAAUUUAAUGUCUUUUUUUUUUAAGGGAAAAUUAUCCAACCAAAAAAUGAACUUCAUAACUUUAGGAAGUGUCAUUGUAGCACUAAUACGUUUUCUUUGUUUACAACCUCAACACAGCAAAACAAUUCCCCACGACAUGGUAGACAUCUUGCUCAAAAUCAACAUUGUUGUUAUCUGAGAGGAUUACAAUGAGGUCUCUUAAUUUUGCCUUGUGGCUUCUGCUUUUGAAACAACGUCACAUUUCAUAUUUCCAUCUGUUACGUGUUUGAUGUCACACUGUUAAUUGCUAUGUUGGCCCUGUUUCCAGGGGGGAAAUGAAGUUAUUGUCUUUUC